ensembl:lncRNA
GUUUCACAGAUGAGGUAUCUGAGAUCAAGAUGAAUAAGUUAUUCAAGGUCACACAGCUAAAAACUUGAAAAGCUGGAAUCAGGUCAGGUUUGCAGGCUCCAUGCUCCACCCCCUCCGCUUCGCAACUGUAAACCACCUCAUCUAAUGUCAGAGCUCCAGGGGCCCGGGAGCUGCAUCUCCGGGAGAUGGCGAUUUGGGGAAGCCACCAACAGCACGAGAGUCUGCGGGCUUAGAGUCCAGAGCUGCCAGAUGGGAGACAUUGUGUCCUUGUGGCACGGAGACAGCUAUCCUAAGCAUCUCAGCCCACACCAAGUUUGGCUUCACGUUGCACUAGCAAGAUUCUGUUGUCAAUUUCAAAGUCGUGUAUUGCUAUCUGAGAUGCACUGAUUAGAUUCAAAUGGGAAGACUUGGAAGAAAUAGGAAGAUUUCUGCUUAAGAGAGAGGAGAGAGGGAGUUGGCUGGUGGCUGGUACAUUCCUUCCCGUUAUCCCACACUUUUGUGGUGGGAAAAAGCUUGCGUUGCUGCGAGGUGAGAUGGAGGAAAAGCAGUUGGUUUGGCAGACAGACCAUGAGGGAUUCUCCACAACGGGGCCCAGUGGGAAAGGCCUGUUCCUCUCAUUACCCGUCACAUUCCACAGGGAAAUCAGCUGGAAAACGUGACAUCAUGUCCAGUCUCUGAGUCCUGAAUGAGUCUGUGGUUCCUGACCCAGGAGAAGAGCAUGUGCUGUUAAAUAGCAAAGUGCGGGUGUCAUAAUGCAGGGCUCUGGGACAUCCAGGGCCCUCUUCACACCGCUUCUCCUCGGAGCCCCUGGGAGCAAGUGACAAGUGUGUAUGCGAAAACAUGCCAGAGUCUCCAGUGGACCCUGGACCUCAGGAGUCUGCAAUAUGGGAUUCACGGUGGAGCACGAUCUGUGAUAGUGGUGGAGACUGAGCACAGGGAGGGUGCACUGGAACGUUCCCUGGAGGUUAGGGGUGUGUUCAGCCUUAGACGUCAGCAUCUGGCCCACGCUCAUUCCCAGGAGCAGAGGGAGCCGUGGAAGGUCUGGAGCUAUGGAGUGAAGGAUGCGGCUGUGCAGCCGGGUGCAGAGGGAGCCGUGGAAGGUCUGGAGCUGUGGAGUGAAGGAUGCGGCUGUGCAGCCGGGUGCAGAUGGGGCCAUGGAAGGUCUGGAGCUGUGGAGUGAAGGAUGCGGCUGUGCAGCCGGGUGCAGAUGGGGCCAUGGAAGGUCUGGAGCUGUGGAAUGAAGGAUGCGGCUGUGCAGCCGGGUGCAGAUGGGUUUGGGCUGGUGGGAGUGGAGGCUCAUUCGAGCUGAGAGGACAUUGAAAGAGGCUAUGGCCAAACUGCCCAUCCUCCAUUCGGUGAUGGAGACGUGGACUGUGUAAUGGGGACUGAGGGAAGGGCAGAAGCAGGUGCGCUGACACAGAAGUGACAACCCUGCAGGGCCCUCAACGCUCCCCAUUGCCUUCAGUGACCAGGCUCGAGCUCCGCCCUGCUGCACGUCUGCUCCCUGCCUCUCCCUCCAGCCUCACCUCUUUCCACCUCCACCCAUCUGUGUGCCUGACGCUGAGCGUCUUGACGACUUGCCUUCUCUGAUGCACCUCACACUCUGUGGACUGAGGUCCUCCACACAUAAGGCAGCCUUGGCCUGAACUCUCCCCUAUGCCCCUGACGCCCCCGUCCCAUCCUCCCACCCUCAGCUUAGGGCCCCAUCUCCCGUGGGCCUUUCCUGAACCUCCACCCAUGACCGACGAGGGUGUCCCUUCCACGCGCUCGGCCCGUGGGCUGGGAUUACGUUUGCGCGUCGGCUUCGUCAGGCCGCACACUCCUGAAGGCGAGUCCCUCGUGUUGGCAGGAGCUCAGCAGAGGAGUCUGAAUGUCUGGAGGGACAGAUUGGAUGUGGAGAAGAAGGACAGGGGUUAACGCAGAUCAACGUUUAGGUCUGCUGACCGGGAGAAGUCGUCCAGAUCAUCAGUGUCAAAACUUCCGCUCUGCAAGGGCCCCAUGAAGAGGAUGAAAUGACAAGCCACAGACUGAGGGAAAACAUCUGAAAAUCACCUUCCUAACAAAGGACUUGUAUCCAAAACAUAAAGAAUGCUCUACAUUCAACUGCAAGAAAACAAGCAACCCAAUCAGAAAAUGAGCAGAAGAUUGGAACAGACACUUCACCAACAUCAUUAGCCAUGAGGGAAAUGCAGGUUAAAAACACAGUGAGAUAUCACUUCACAACUAUCAGAAUGGCUAAAACGAAAAAUAGCAGCAACACCACAUGCUGGUGAGGAUGUGGAGAGACUGGAACUCUCAUUGGCUACGGGUGGGAGUGGGAGAUGGCACGGCCAACAUGGAGAAUAACUGGGCAGUUUCUUAUAAAGUUGGACGUAUGCUUAGCCAUGAAACUCAGCACCAUGCUCCUUGGGAUUUACUCUAGAAAAAGGAAAACUUAUGUUCAUACAAAAGUUCAUAGCAGCCUUAUUUGUAAUAGCCACAACCUGGAAACAACCUAGAUAUCCUCCAACCCCCAAAUGGACAAGCACACUGUGGCCUACCCUGUCACAGUGGAUCUAUCAAUAGAGGUGGAUGCUCACAGCAAUAAAAUGAGGGGAACCAUCAACAACACCCUUGGCAAAUCUUAAGAGCGCUGGGAUGAGGGAGAAAGCCAACCUCAAAAUGCACAAACCCAAGAUCCCACUUGUAUAACAUUCCUGAAGUGACAAAAUUGGAGGAUAGAACUGGCCAGUGGUGGCCAGGGAUUAGAGUGGGGGGUGACCAUUCAGGGGUGGCAUAAGAGAGUGAACUGAAGUUAAUUCUUUGUGACUUUACCAGAGGCAGAUACAGAAAACCCAAGCCCAGGUGGCUUACGGGAGAAAUGAUUUGAUCUGUUGGCUUGUGGAACUCGGAGCCCAGGGAAAGAGCUGGCCAAAGCAUGGACCUUGGCCCCUCCACCUUCCUGUGGGCCCUCAGCAUCUGCUCUGCUCUCAGAUGGGCCCCACUGUGCAGCCAAUGGGAGCUCCAAGGCCUGGGAGGGACAACCUCAGUCCCGGAGGCUUCCUGAUGCCUGGGGGCCCCUGGGACCCUGUUCAGACCACUCAUACCAGAUGAGCCUGCAAAAGAAAACCAAGGUAGUUUCUGGAAAGAGGGACAAUUGACAGAGAUGGACAAAGAGCAAGUAUCAGCCACUCAUGUCACACCCAUUGACUGCCAGCAUGGGGAGCAGAUAUUCAGUGUUUAGAAUAAUGCCCCAGACUAGGUAAAUUCAGGAACAGCAGGGUUGUUAUGCAAAAUCAAUCGCUAUCCAUUUAGUAAAGAACCCACAAAGAUAACCCUAGUGGACUUUGGGAUGUUUUGGAAAGUGAGCAUCUUGUUCAAUGGCCUUGAGUAGUUCUGAAGCUGAAGGGGUCUGAAGCUACAGCCUCAGUACCCAAGACCACCCACACAUAUUAGGACAGCAACAGCUGCUGGCAAAUCACAGCACAACACAAAAGCUGAACUCUAACUCAUCCAACACUCCUGUCUCCUGAGCAAACCCUCCUCUCUGACUCACCCAACCCUCCUCUAACUCAACAAACCCUGCUCUAACUCAACAAACCCUCCUCUCUAACUCAACAAACCCUCCUCUAACUCACCAAACCCUCCUCUAACUCACCAAACCCUCCUCUAACUCACCAAACCCUCCUCUAACUCAACAAACCCUCCUCUCUAACUCAACAAACCCUCCUCUCUAACUCAACAAACCCUCCUCUAACUCAACAAACCCUCCUCUAACUCAACAAACCCUCCUCUAACUCAACAAACCCUCCUCUAACUCAACAAACCCUCCUCUCUAACUCAACAAACCCUCCUCUAACUCAACAAACCUUCCUCUAACUCAACAAACCCUCCUGUAACUCAACAAACCCUCCUGUAACUCAACAAACCCUCCUCUCUAACUCAACAAACCCUCCUCUAACUCAACAAACCCUGCUCUCUAACUCAACACUACUACUGAGUCCUGGCCAUUGAGAGAUUUUCUCAGAGAAACAUUCAAACAGAAGUGAUGGAGGUUUGUAGAUUUACUUGCCUGGAGAAGUUAUAUUCCAGUUGCCACAUAUUUCAGUUACUAGAAGCUGGGCUAAGUCAGCAGAGAAGCCAAGGAAGGAAGCCACAGAGAAAGGAAUCUCCCCAGAGUAAUUCCCCAGACAAUUUAGAGCUUUCAGUGGAAUUGGAUUUUGGAUGACAGCAGCCAGCUAAGAGGAAAGAAUUCUUGAGAUUCUUAGCAGGGUCUGAGUCUGGGUAUUUUGUUGAAGCCCAGUCAUGAUUCCCACUCCUGGACUAUCUGUCCUGAAGGAUGUGGGGGUUUUGAAGGUAGAAUUUACGUCUAAUGAAUUGUACAAUUUUGGUAAAUCGACAGUCCUCUGUAGCCCUCACCCGAUAACAUGUAAGAUGUCUCCACCCAGCCAGAAUUUCAUGUCACUCCCUUCUCUGCUGACUUCCCCAUGCCACCACAGGCAGCGUGUGUUCUGAGGGGUCCGUCAGAUGAGUUUGGCCUGGUUUUGAGUCCCUUGGAGAUGGAUGCGUGCAAUCCGCUCUCUUGGUGUCCAGCCUCUUCCCCUCAGUGGACCGUCUGUGAGAUUCACCCAGUCGUCUGCUGGAUAUUUUAGUCCUCAGGAGGAGUAGGGCCCCAUCAGGACCCUUUUCCUCCUGCAGCUGCUUCGCCAAGUGAGGAGGGGGCUCGAGUCAGGGGUGAGGGGCCCGAUUCCCUGACCACUGUCUAGACAGAGACUGUCCUCUCCUUGCCGCCAGCGACAGUGUCUGCAGCCCGGGCAGUGCUGCACCAAAGGCCCCACCGGCCGUUUAGAGUCAAUGACAGGAUGAGCUGGAGGGGAACGAAUGAAACGCAGACCCUGAGGUUUGAAGCUCCUCCAGGGCGCAUUUGCGAGGUCCACCACAGCUGGGGUGACCAGGCGAUCAGACUUGGUGAGAUUCACCCUAAGAGGAAGGCUGGCCCCUCCAGUGGAGGCCGGUAGGUGGAAUUAAACAGCAGAAUGCUCAGAAUUCUCUUGAGCAGUGAGAACUAGCUUCUUGUUGCUGGUGCUUCUCUUUCCUUCCAGCAAAGCUGAGUUUAGAUCCUCUGAACCAUCAACAAAC